rnacentral:rRNA from 1 species
GGGCCCGCACAAGCGGUGGAGCAUGUGGUUUAAUUCGAUGAUACGCGAGGAACCUUACCAGGGCUUAAAUGUAGUAUGACCGGUCUAGAAAUAGACCUUCUCUUCGGAGCAGAUUACAAGGUGCUGCAUGGUUGUCGUCAGCUCGUGCCGUGAGGUGUUAGGUUAAGUCCUGCAACGAGCGCAACCCCUAUUCUUAGUUGCCAGCGGUUCGGCCGGGGACUCUAAGAAGACUGCCAGCGCAAGCUGAGAGGAAGGUGGGGAUGACGUCAAAUCAUCACGGCCCUUACGUCCUGGGCUACACACGUGCUACAAUGGUACAGACAGAGGGCAGCCACCUGGCGACAGGGAGCGAAUCCUUAAACUGUAUCUCAGUUCGGAUCGCAGUCUGCAACUCGACUGCGUGAAGCUGGAAUC